rnacentral:rRNA from 1 species
AACGAACGCUGGCGGCAGGCCUAACACAUGCAAGUCGAGCGCGCCCUUCGGGGUGAGCGGCGGACGGGUGAGUAACGCGUGGGAACGUGCCCUUCUCUGCGGAAUAGCCUCGGGAAACUGAGAGUAAUACCGCAUACGCCCUGUGGGGGAAAGAUUUAUCGGAGAAGGAUCGGCCCGCGUUGGAUUAGGUAGUUGGUGGGGUAAUGGCCCACCAAGCCGACGAUCCAUAGCUGGUUUGAGAGGAUGAUCAGCCACACUGGGACUGAGACACGGCCCAGACUCCUACGGGAGGCAGCUGUGGGGACUCUUAGACAAUGGGGGCAACCCUGAUCGAGCCAUGCCGCGUGAGUGAUGAAGGCCUUAGGGUUGUAAAGCUCUUUCAGCUGGGAAGAUAAUGACGGUACCAGCAGAAGAAGCCCCGGCUAACUCCGUG